CCAACCUCCCGCCCCUGCCCGUCUAUCCUUUCCGAGCCCGCCCGCCAGCUCCAGUUCCCGGCUCAGGCCUGACCUCUCAGUGCGCCCGCAGCCACCUGGAGACCAGAAGCGGAUCUCGGAGAGAGGGUCCGAGCGGCGCGAUUGACUUCUAAAGACUCAUGUUGCCUGAGGAAGCAGCCCUGAAGAAGAGGAGGGAAAAAAAGAGGUAGGAAUGACUGUCAUGGAGGUAAGUGACAUUCUCAGGUGGUCCUGAGUUCCUUCUGCACUGCUGGGCACUGGAGCUGCUGGCCUCAUGGGACUCCACAGCCUCCUGCCUGACAGGAAACCUGCUGUCAGUUUCCACUGCACAGUCCCUGUCCCUAAGUCUCUGAUUGCUCAGGUUCAGCUCUGAUUCCAGAACACGUGGGUUGGGCUUUGCUCUGCCGCUUUGCACUUUCUGACCCGAGGUGAGUUUUGAAGGAUAUCUUUGACUUGGUUGUGUGAUCAGGAUGCUGGACCUUUCUUCCUCUCCUGGGCUGUUGUUUUUCUAAGUUAGUGUGUGUAAAGCAUUUAGAGAAACAUGGGCACAUGGAAGUGUCACCCCCGAGUCUCCGUCCUUGCUUCCUUACCAUGCUGUUGAGAUUCUGCUGUUGUCAAUCAGGGUGGACUUGUCUUCUCAGGACACAGGUC